rnacentral:rRNA from 1 species
AUUGAACGCUGGCGGCAGGCCUAACACAUGCAAGUCGAACGGAAGAACGGUGCUUGCUCGUGGUUUCGGCGGGGGACGGGUGAGUGAUGCCUGUGAAUCUCCCUAUCUAUUGUUUAUAACGUCCUGACGCAGGCGCAAAUACCGCAUACGUGCUGAUGACGCACGUGGGGGAUCUUCGGACCUCACGCCCUCAGGUGAUCCGAGGUGGGAGUAGCUAGUUGGUGGGGUGAAGGGCUACCAAGGCGACGAUCCGUAACUGGUCUGAUAGGAUGAUCAGUCACACUGGAAGUGAGACACGGUCCAGACUCCUACGGGAGGCAGCAGUGGGGAAUAUUGGGCAAUGGGCGAAAGCCUGAUCCAGCCAUGCCGCGUGUGUGAAGAAGGUCUUCGGAUUGUAAAGCCCUUUUAGUGGGGAGGAACGGCAGUAAGUUAAUACCUUGCUGUUUUGACGGUACCCACAGAAUAAGCACCGGCUAACUUCGUG